CCCUUAGAUGUUCUGGGCCGCACGCGCGCUAAACUGAUGCAUUCAACGAGCCUAUCCUUGACCGACAGGUCCGGGUAAUCUUUGAAUCUGCAUCGUGACGGGGAUAGAUUAUUGCAAUUAUUAAUCUUCAACGAGGAAUGCCUAGUAGGCGCAAGUCAUCAGCUUGCGUCGAUUACGUCCCUGCCCUUUGUACACACCGCCCGUCGCUCCUACCGAUUGGGUGUGCUGGUGAAAUGUUCGGAUCGGCCGUUUGUCGCGGUUUCCGCGUCAUGUGGCUGAGAAGUUCAUUAAACCCUCCCACCUAGAGGAAGGAGAAGUCGUAACA
rnacentral:rRNA from 1 species